rnacentral:rRNA from 1 species
GGACUUAGUGAUCCGGUGGUUCUGCGUGGAAGGGCCAUCGCUCAACGGAUAAAAGCUACCCUGGGGAUAACAGGCUUAUCUCCCCCAAGAGUCCACAUCGACGGGGAGGUUUGGCACCUCGAUGUCGGCUCAUCACAUCCUGGGGCUGUAGUAGGUCCCAAGGGUUGGGCUGUUCGCCCAUUAAAGUGGUACGCGAGCUGGGUUCAGAACGUCGUGAGACAGUUCGGUCCCUAUCCGUCGCAGGCGUAGGAAAUUUGAGAAGACCUGUCCUUAGUACGAGAGGACCGGGAUGGACGUACCUCUGGUGUACCAGUUGUUCUGCCAAGGGCAUGGCUGGGUAGCUAUGUACGGAAUGGAUAAGCGCUGAAAGCAUCUAAGCGCGAAGCCAACUUCAAGAUAAGAUUUCCCACCGCAAGGGUAAGACCCCAGAAAGACUAUCUGGUUGAUAGGUCGAAGGUGUAAGUGCAGCAAUGUAUUUAGCUUAUCGAUACUAAUAGGUCGAGGACUUGACCAAAUU